rnacentral:rRNA from 1 species
UACAGAGGGGGCAAGCGUUGUUCGGAAUUACUGGGCGUAAAGGGCGCGUAGGCGGCCUUCUAAGUCGAACGUGAAAUCCCCGGGCUCAACCCGGGAACUGCGUCCGAUACUGGAAGGCUUGAAUCCGGGAGAGGGAUGUGGAAUUCCAGGUGUAGCGGUGAAAUGCGUAGAUAUCGGGAGGAACACCCAUGGCGAAGGCAGCAAGCUGGGCGACAACUGACGCUGAGGCGCGAAAGCGUGGGUAGCAAACAGG